rnacentral:rRNA from 1 species
AUGGAACCUGACUGCAGGACAAUCUUCAUGCACUUUGCUGAAGAAAAACUAUUGGGAAUGGCUAGGAGCCAGUCGACUGAAUCUCGUUUGGAAUCAGUCAAUUUGGCUGGGAUGAAUUUGAACCGUUGGAUAGAGAACGGACGGCUCAGAUUGUGUCUUCCUCCUCCCAACAACUUUCCCAUAAACAGAUUGCUCGGGUGUUCUUCUUCUUCCCGCACGCCGCCUGCUGUCACCGGCCGGCCGCCAGCUGCCGCCUCCUGCAGCCGGCAGCGCUCCCUCAACCGCCUCGCCGCCCUCCCCUAA